rnacentral:rRNA from 1 species
GAUGAACGCUGGCGGCGUGCUUAACACAUGCAAGUCGAACGGAAAGGCCCAAGCUUGCUUGGGUACUCGAGUGGCGAACGGGUGAGUAACACGUGGGUGAUCUGCCCUGCACUUCGGGAUAAGCCUGGGAAACUGGGCCUAAUACCGGAUAGGACGAUGGUUUGGAUGCCAUUGUGGAAAGUUUUUUCGGUGUGGGAUGAGCUCGCGGCCUAUCAGCUUGUUGGUGGGGUAAUGGCCUACCAAGGCGUCGACGGGUAGCCGGCCUGAGAGGGUGUACGGCCACAUUGGGACUGAGAUACGGCCCAGACUCCUACGGGAGGCAGCAGUGGGGAAUAUUGCACAAUGGGCGCAAGCCUGAUGCAGCGACGCCGCGUGGGGGAUGACGGCCUUCGGGUUGUAAACUCCUUUCGCUAGGGACGAAGCGUUUUUGUGACGGUACCUGGAGAAGAAGCACCGGCUAACUACGUG